rnacentral:sRNA from 1 species
CUGGGUAAUAGCCCACGUGCAGCUACAGA